rnacentral:rRNA from 1 species
GUGCCAGCAGCCGCGGUAAUACGGAGGGUGCAAGCGUUAUCCGGAUUCACUGGGUUUAAAGGGUGCGUAGGUGGGCAGGUAAGUCAGUGGUGAAAUCUCCGAGCUUAACUCGGAAACUGCCAUUGAUACUAUCUGUCUUGAAUUAUCUGGAGGUGAGCGGAAUAUGUCAUGUAGCGGUGAAAUGCUUAGAUAUGACAUAGAACACCAAUUGCGAAGGCAGCUCACUACGGAUAUAUUGACACUGAGGCACGAAAGCGUGGGGAUCAAACAGGAUUAGAUACCCUAGUAGUCC